rnacentral:rRNA from 1 species
CUCCUAGUACGAGAGGACCGGAGGGGACGCAUCACUGGUGUUCGGGUUGUCAUGCCAAUGGCACUGCCCGGUAGCUAAAUGCGGAAGAGAUAAGUGCUGAAAGCAUCUAAGCACGAAACUUGCCCCGAGAUGAGUUCUCCCUGACCCUUUAAGGGUCCUGAAGGAACGUUGAAGACGACGACGUUGAUAGGCCGGGUGUGUAAGCGCAGCGAUGCGUUGAGCUAACCGGUACUAAUGAACCGUGAGGCUUAACCUUACAACGCCGAAGCUGUU